rnacentral:piRNA from 1 species
UAUGUACUUUGCAGGUUGGAAGUCU